rnacentral:misc_RNA from 1 species
UCCCCGAUUUCCGGGGCAGUCUCCCAUGAGUCCCCGGCAUUACCCGCUGGCAACAUGGAACAGGGGUUGCGCUCGUUGCGCCACUUAAGGCAACACCUCACGGCGUCACCCCGCAUGUCAAGCCCUGGUAAGGUUCUUCGCGUUGCGUCGAAUUGAGCCACAUGCUCCGCCGCUUGUGCGGGUCCCCGUCAAUUCCUUUGAGUUUUAGCCUUGCGGCCGUACUCCCCAGGCGGGGCGCUUAAUGCGUUAGCUUCGGCACAGAAGGGGUCGAUACCCCCCACACCUAGCGCCCAUCGUUUACGGCUGGGACUAC